rnacentral:rRNA from 1 species
CUUCUUGGAUGAGUUGCGAACGGGUGAGUAACGCGUAGGUAACCUGCCUUGUAGCGGGGGAUAACUAUUGGAAACGAUAGCUAAUACCGCAUAACAAUAGGUGACACAUGUCAUUUAUUUGAAAGGGGCAAUUGCUCCACUACAAGAUGGACCUGCGUUGUAUUAGCUAGUAGGUGAGGUAACGGCUCACCUAGGCGACGAUACAUAGCCGACCUGAGAGGGUGAUCGGCCACACUGGGACUGAGACACGGCCCAGACUCCUACGGGAGGCAGCAGUAGGGAAUCUUCGGCAAUGGGGGCAACCCUGACCGAGCAACGCCGCGUGAGUGAAGAAGGUUUUCGGAUCGUAAAGCUCUGUUGUAAGUCAAGAACGAGUGUGAGAGUGGAAAGUUCACACUGUGACGGUAGCUUACCAGAAAGGGACGGCUAACUACGUGCCAGCAGCCGCGGUAAUACGUAGGUCCCGAGCGUUGUCCGGAUUUAUUGGGCGUAAAGCGAGCGCAGGCGGUUUGAUAAGUCUGAAGUUAAAGGCUGUGGCUCAACCAUAGUUCGCUUUGGAAACUGUCAAACUUGAGUGCAGAAGGGGAGAGUGGAAUUCCAUGUGUAGCGGUGAAAUGCGUAGAUAUAUGGAGGAACACCGGUGGCGAAAGCGGCUCUCUGGUCUGUAACUGACGCUGAGGCUCGAAAGCGUGGGGAGCGAACAGGAUUAGAUACCCUGGUAGUCCACGCCGUAAACGAUGAGUGCUAGGUGUUGGAUCCUUUCCGGGAUUCAGUGCCGCAGCUAACGCAUUAAGCACUCCGCCUGGGGAGUACGACCGCAAGGUUGAAACUCAAAGGAAUUGACGGGGGCCCGCACAAGCGGUGGAGCAUGUGGUUUAAUUCGAAGCAACGCGAAGAACCUUACCAGGUCUUGACAUCCCGAUGCUAUUUCUAGAGAUAGGAAGUUACUUCGGUACAUCGGUGACAGGUGGUGCAUGGUUGUCGUCAGCUCGUGUCGUGAGAUGUUGGGUUAAGUCCCGCAACGAGCGCAACCCCUAUUGUUAGUUGCCAUCAUUCAGUUGGGCACUCUAGCGAGACUGCCGGUAAUAAACCGGAGGAAGGUGGGGAUGACGUCAAAUCAUCAUGCCCCUUAUGACCUGGGCUACACACGUGCUACAAUGGUUGGUACAACGAGUUGCGAGUCGGUGACGGCAAGCUAAUCUCUUAAAGCCAAUCUCAGUUCGGAUUGUAGGCUGCAACUCGCCUACAUGAAGUCGGAAUCGCUAGUAAUCGCGGAUCAGCACGCCGCGGUGAAUACGUUCCCGGGCCUUGUACACACCGCCCGUCACACCACGAGAGUUUGUAACACCCGAAGUCGGUGAGGUAAC